UUUGGUGUUUGUCCCUUUCUAGCGCGUCAAGGCAGAGCUGCUGUACAAACACUGGGCCUGUGCCAGCCUCUAAAAAUGUUUAUUUUUACCACCAAGGAAUUUACACAACCCAGGUGGGAUUUUACCACUGUUGUCCGAGGUAAAAUGCUGGGACAAGAAGAGCUUUUCACCCAGUUGAGAUAUAAAAGACGAAACCUGAUGCGAUUUCCCAACAAAAUAUCUGUAUUUUUUCAAUUUGUAAAACCAAAUACCUUCUCCAAUGCAGCCAAACCGGUGCCAAAAUGUUCAAUUUCCAAAAACACUCCUAAAUUUCCUCCCAAGCUCCUCAGGCUUGGGUUUCUCAGUCAGCUCAUUACGUGCUAAAAUGAAAAUUAAAAUUUAAAAGUGAGUUAUUACACAUGCAGAGGAGAUGCCUGUGAAAUCCAUUGCCUUGAGAUCUCACCUUGGGAGGCAGCUUGUUCUGCUGCCACACCUGAGAAAAGAUAUUUCAAAACUGCAAGAUUGGCUGUGCCUCGCCUUCCUCCAUGAUUUCCCCUCAGGGCUGCCCCUCAUUCUCUUUCAUGAUCUCCCUUUAGGGCUGCCCCUCCUUUUCCUCCAUGAUUUCCCUUCAUGGCUGCCCCUCACCUCCUCCAUGUUCUCCCCUCAUCUUCCUCCAUGUUCUCCCCUCAUCUUCCUCCAUGAUCUCCCCUCAUGGACACCCCUCAUGUUCUUCCAUGAUCUCCCCUCAUGGCUGCCUCUCAUCUCCUCCAUUAUGUCCUCUCAUGGACACCCCUCACCUUCCUCCAUGAUCUCCCCUCAUGGCUGCCCCUCAUCUUCCUCCAUGAUCUCCCCUCAUGGACAUCCCCAUCUUCCCUCAGGGCUGCCCCUCAUCUUCCUCCAUGAUUUCCCCACAUGGACACGCCUCCUCUCCUCCAUGUUCUCUCCUCAUGGACACUCCUCACCUCCUCCAUGUUCUCCCCUCACGGACACCCCUCAUCUCCUCCAUGUUCUCCCCUCAUGGACACCCCUCAUCUUCCUCCAUGAUCUCCCCUCAUGGACACCCCUCCUCUUCCUCCAUGAUCUCCCCUCAUGGCCACCCCUCCUCUUCCUCCAUGAUCUCCCCUCAUGGACACCCCUCAUCUUCCUCCAUGAUCUCCCCUCAUGGACACCCCUCCUCUUCCUCCAUGAUCUCCCCUCAUGGCCACCCCUCCUCUUCCUCCAUGAUCUCCCCUCAUGGACACCCCUCAUCUUCCUCCACGAUCUCCCCUCAUGGACACCCCUCAUCUUCCUCCAUGAUCUCCCCUCAUGGACACCCCUCCUCUUCCUCCAUGAUCUCCCCUCAUGGCCACCCCUCACAUCCUAUAGCUGCCUCUCAUCUUCCUCCAUGUUUUCCCCUCAUCAUCCUCCAUGAUCUCCCCCCAUGGCUGCCCCUCAUCUUCCUCCAUGGUCUCCCCCAUGACCUCCCCUCACAAACGCGGCCAUUCCCCAUCUCCCCCGGAUCUCUCCCAUUCCAUCUCCCUCUUCCGGGGGGGGGGGGGGGGGGGGGGGGGGGGGGGGGGGGGGGGGGGGGGGGG
rnacentral:lncRNA from 12 species